rnacentral:rRNA from 1 species
CCUACGGGGGGCAGCAGUGAGGAAUAUUGGUCAAUGGGCGGGAGCCUGAACCAGCCAAGCCGCGUGAGGGAAGAAGGUACAGCGUAUCGUAAACCUCUUUUGUCAGGGAACAAAGGCGGGGACUAGUCCCCGGAUGAGGGUACCUGAAGAAAAAGCAUCGGCUAACUCCGUGCCAGCAGCCGCGGUAAUACGGAGGAUGCGAGCGUUAUCCGGAUUUAUUGGGUUAAAAGGGUGCGCAGGCGGCCUGUUAAGUCAGCGGGAAAAGCCCGGGGCUCAACCCCGGCGAGGCGUUGAAACUGGCGGGCUGGAGUUGGAGAGAAGUACGCGGAAUGCGCGGUGUAGCGGUGAAAUGCUUAGAUAUCGCGCAGAACCCCGGUUGCGAAGGCAGCGUACCGGCUCCACACUGACGCUGAGGCACGAAAGCGUGGGUAUCGAACAGGAUUAGAUACCCCAGUAGUC